rnacentral:rRNA from 1 species
UGGGGAAUUUUGGACAAUGGGGGCAACCCUGAUCCAGCCAUUCCGCGUGAGUGAAGAAGGCCUUCGGGUUGUAAAGCUCUUUCGGCAGGAACGAAACGGCGGGCUCUAACAUAGCCUGUCAAUGACGGUACCUGAAGAAGAAGCACCGGCUAACUACGUGCCAGCAGCCGCGGUAAUACGUAGGGUGCGAGCGUUAAUCGGAAUUACUGGGCGUAAAGCGUGCGCAGGCGGCUUUGUAAGACAGAUGUGAAAUCCCCGGGCUUAACCUGGGAACUGCGUUUGUGACUGCAAGGCUCGAGUGCGGCAGAGGGGGGUGGAAUUCCACGUGUAGCAGUGAAAUGCGUAGAGAUGUGGAGGAACACCGAUGGCGAAGGCAGCCCCCUGGGUUGACACUGACGCUCAUGCACGAAAGCGUGGGUAGCAAACAGG